UCACCUACGGGAGGCAGCAGUGGGGAAUAUUGCACAAUGGGGGGAACCCUGAUGCAGCAACGCCGCGUGAAGGAAGAAGUAAUUCGUUAUGUAAACUUCUCUCGACAGGGAAGAAAGAAAUGACGGUACCUGAAUAAGAAGCCCCGGCUAAUUACGGGCCAGCAGCCGCGGUAAUACGUAAGGGGCAAGCGUUAUCCGGAUUUACUGGGUGUAAAGGGUGAGUAGGCGGCGAUGCAGGGCAUAUGGGAAAUUCCGGGGCUUAACUCCGGAGCGGCAUAAGA
rnacentral:rRNA from 1 species